UACGAAGGGGGCUAGCGUUGUUCGGAAUUACUGGGCGUAAAGGGCGCGUAGGCGGUCCUGAUCGUCGGAUGUGAAAGGCCUGGGCUCAACCUGGGAACUGCAUCCGAUACGGCGGGACUGGAGUGUGGGAGAGGUUGGUGGAAUUCCCAGUGUAGAGGUGAAAUUCGUAGAUAUUGGGAAGAACACCGGUGGCGAAGGCGGCCAUCUGGCCCACAUUUGACGCUGAGGCGCGAAAGCGUGGGGAGCAAACAGG
rnacentral:rRNA from 1 species